rnacentral:tRNA from 1 species
UAGCUCAGCAGCAUAAGCACCUGCCUUGCAAGCAGGCGGUCCUGGGUUCGAUCCCCAG